CAGGGCAUUAAAGGAGACACGGGACCAGCAGGGCCUGUCGGUCCCAAAGCAGAACCGGGUUUCCAAGGACAACCAGGCUUCCCAGGACCACCAGGUGGACCAGGUCCUGCUGGAAAAAGUGGAAGGGAAGGGCUCUCCGGCCUCAAGGGUGAAAAAGGCAAUGAUGGUGCACAAGGCUCUCAGGGAUCAAGUGGACCCCCAGGCUCACCAGGCUCCCAUGGGCUGAUGGUAUAUGCAUAUUAUAUAUAUAUAUAUAUAUAUAUACUGUAUAUUAUCCAAGUUUGACCCAUUCCAACAUAUAUAUGAACUGCAUUGUAUUGAG
rnacentral:lncRNA from 1 species